UUUGCCUACGGGGGGCAGCAGUGAGGAAUAUUGGUCAAUGGCCGAGAGGCUGAACCAGCCAAGUCGCGUGAGGGAAGACGGCCCUACGGGUUGUAAACCUCUUUUGUCGGGGAGCAAAGAGAGUCACGUGUGACUCAUUGAGAGUACCCGAAGAAAAAGCAUCGGCUAACUCCGUGCCAGCAGCCGCGGUAAUACGGAGGAUGCGAGCGUUAUCCGGAUUUAUUGGGUUUAAAGGGUGCGUAGGCGGAAUAUCAAGUCAGCGGUAAAAAUUCGGGGCUCAACCCCGUCG
rnacentral:rRNA from 1 species